CCUCUCUUCCAGCUGAUGUUCAAUCUCUGGGCGCAGGAAUCCUCCAUUCAAGAGUACUUUCCAGGUCUUUAUAUCCAUGGAGUCCAGGUCUUCUCUUGGCUGAGGUAUUAUUCCAACUGGGUACCAGGUGACUGGUUGAGCAUGCGUGUGGAUAUUGUGGAUCUUUACUUGACAUUGAGCUUGAACAUGAUCUUUCUGACACUCCGAAGGGACUUGUGUUUAUU